UGGGUGUGUGAUAGUCUCUCCUGUAGACAGUUUACGUUACCGUCUAGGAUCAGUGGGGGUAAACCAACACAGGUAGCAUCUGGACAGAGUUACACCCUCAAUGUGACUGUUGGUGAUGGAGGACUGUACUACUGUGAAGCAAGAAAUAGUCACGGCCUUGGGAAGUCAAAGGAAGUGAAGCUGGCUAUUAAAGGGCAAGAGGAGCCUGUUAACCCAAAGGUUUAUGAGAUUAUAGGAAAAACCUUGGCGUUGCUUUUCCUUUUCAGCCUGAUCGUGUUCUUUGCAUGGAGGAGGAGAACAUCUAGACUCUCCAAUGGGUUUGAAAUGACAGACCGUUCAUAGGGACAGAACUCCCCGGUUGGGACGGUGUGCUCUAACCAGGCCACGGACGGGAGAGGGGACCAGGAACCACCACUUAACUGCCUAGAUGGGUUUUAUGUACAAGUGAAUAAAAGAGGUGCAUUUUAAGUAUUUUGCCAAUGGGUAUUAAGUGUUUAUGUAGAUUAAUGUCAUUAUGUAUCAGUUUUCUAUUGGUACUUUAGUUACUUUUAUAUUUGUGUGCUCUUUGAUUAUCUGCAUAUUUGUAGAAUUUAUUUUUAGCCAAUUUAUUUUGAGUGUUGAGUUCACAGAGCAUCCGUUUAAUGGGUUCCAGUAUAGAGGAACUGCUGAGUUCAACUAUCUUACUGAAGGCAGUUUAAGACCAUAUAAAGUCAAUGAUGACUGAGGAGAGAAGACACAGUUAGUUGGAGAGACAGUGGUCUGAUACAAGACAGGAAGUUGGUGAAGUAAGUCUACGUGACGGCAGAAUGGUGUUAACAUCUACUAGUCACUGUUUCUCUGCAUCUUUUGUGCAGUUACCAUAAUAAUAAUAUUAUCUAAAUUAACUUUAUAUCUAUUUAGAAGUUAUUGUGUCAGUUUUUAUGUUGAGUGUUAAACCAGAUGAACAAUUGGGACUGAAUUCAAGGUUGUUUAUUAAUUGCACUGUAAUCAAAACCUUUACAUUCAAUUCCCAUGAAAUCUUUUGGUCUUAUUAGUCCAACAUUUUACAUAUCUCAUUAAAAUGGAAUACAUUGAGAUGUUGUGUCACUGGCCUACACACAACACCAUAAUGUUUUUAGACAUUAAAAAAA